rnacentral:lncRNA from 1 species
UGUUUUAGUUGCAAGAAGCACAAGAUCGAUAUAUGGAGGCCGUGAAAUGUACUGAGAAGAUGCAGGAUCAAAUGCAAAAGUAAGAUUUAAAGCAGCACAGAGAAUAAGUAGGGAUUAAGUAUGAAGCACAUAAGCAGUACAGUGUAAGAAUUAUAUCAGGAAAGAUGACAAAUAAGACAUCAUUGGGGAGCCGGGUAAAAAUUUCAGUUUUGGGGUGUUGUGAAAUGUUUUUUCCCCAUUAUUUCUAAAUUUCUCUCAUUAUCCGCAAAACCCUACUAGAAAAACAACAAAAUGGCCAAAACAUCUACCUUUCAAAAAUUUCAGAAUUUAUGUAAUGGAACCUGUGGAUGUUCGUGUACAAUUGGUGUGGUUGUCUUAACAAUCUAUGUGUGAGAAUAAUUAUUUUGAAAUACACAUUUUAGGCUUGAAAAGGAAAAUGCCGAGUUAAAAGGUACAAACAAAAUGCAAGCGGGCACAAUUGAAGAGCUUCAGAAAAACCUGCUGAGUCUAAGUUCGUGUCCUUCUGAGAGUCUUUCACAGAAGUACGUUGAUCAUUUUUCUGGAGCUUCAGGUCAAAGAGGUAAAAAUAGAGUAAAUGGAGAAGUAGAAGGUAAGAAUGUUAUUUUUUUAAAAAGUCAAUGUACAUAUAUGAUGAUAAAACAGGAAUUCUGACAUAUUCCUUUUUUUUUCCAAACAUUAUUCUGUGUUGGUCAUUUAUGACUUCCUUGCUUUAGUAAUUAAUUAAUUUUUAUUUAUUUGGAUUUUUUAAUUUCCCCAGUACCUUAUUUUUUUUCUACUGUACAUCAUGGUGACCUAGUUACACAUAUAUGUGUACAUGCUUUUUUCUCACAUUAUCAUGCCCCAUCAUGGGUGACUAGACGUAGUUCCCAGUGCUACACAGCAGCAUCUCAUUGCUAAUCCAUUCCAAGGCAAUAGUCGGUAUCUAUUAACCCCAAGCUCCCAAUCCAUCCCACUCCCUCCCCCUCCCACUUGGCAAAUACACACACACAUACAAGUCUAUUCUCCAAGUCCAUGAUUUUCUUUUCUAUGGAAAAGUUCAUUCGUGCCAUAUGUUAGAUUCCAAAUAUAAGUGAUAUCAUAUGGUAUUUGUCUUUCUUUUUCUGAGUAACUUCACUCAGUUUGAGAGUCUCUAGUUCCAUCCAUGUUGCUGCAAAUGGCAUUAUUUUGGUCUUUCUUAUGGCUGAGUAGUAUUCCAGUGUGUAUAUACAC